rnacentral:rRNA from 1 species
UACGUAGGGGGCAAGCGUUGUCCGGAUUUAUUGGGCGUAAAGAGCGUGUAGGCGGCCAGGUAGGUCUGCUGUGAAAACUCGAGGCUUAACCUCGAGCUGUCGGCGGAAACCAUCUGGCUAGAGUCCGGAAGAGGAGAAUGGAAUUCCCGGUGUAGCGGUGAAAUGCGCAGAUAUCAGGAGGAACACCAAUAGCGAAGGCAGCUCGCUGGGACGUUACUGACACUGAGGCGCGAAAGCGUGGGGAGCGAACAGG